rnacentral:piRNA from 1 species
UGCUGAUGUAGUUUCUGUUACUGAGCAGU